GCUCCGUAGGUGAACCUGCGGAGGGAUCAUUACAGAGUUCGUGCCCUCACGGGUAGAUCUCCCACCCUGUGUUAUUAUCCCUUUGUUGCUUUUGCGGGCAGCCCUCGGCUACCGGCCGCGGCUGGUACGGGCCCGCCAGAGGACCCCAAACACUGAAUGUUAGUGUCGUCUGUGUACUAUACAAUAGUUAAAACUUUCAACAACGGAUCUCUUGGUUCUG
rnacentral:misc_RNA from 1 species